rnacentral:rRNA from 1 species
AUUGAACGCUGGCGGAAUGCUUUACACAUGCAAGUCGAACGGCAGCACGGGGGCAACCCUGGUGGCGAGUGGCGAACGGGUGAGUAAUACAUCGGAACGUGCCCAGUCGUGGGGGAUAACUACGCGAAAGCGUAGCUAAUACCGCAUACGAACUUAGGUUGAAAGCGGGGGACCGCAAGGCCUCGCGCGAUUGGAGCGGCCGAUGGCAGAUUAGGUAGUUGGUGGGGUAAAGGGUCACCAAGCCGACGAUCUGUAGCUGGUCUGAGAGGACGAGCCGCCACACUGGGACUGAGACACGGCCCAGACUCCGACGGGAGGCAGCAGUGGGGAAUUUUGGACAAUGGGCGCAAGCCUGAUCCAGCCAUUCCGCGUGCAGGAUGAAGGCCAUCGGGUUGUAAACUGCUUUUGUACGGAACGAAACGCGCUGAGUUAAUACCUUGGCGUAAUGACGGUACCGUAAGAAUAAGCACCGGCUAACUACGUGCCAGCAGCCGCCGUAAUAC